UGUAACAGUGUAAGUAUGCUCAAUAGGAUUUUUUUAAAUUCCUCCAAAAAUACAUCAAUUACAGAAACAUAAGUGUUGAGCUUAAAGAUUUGAAUGCUAGUUAUAUACAAAAAGAGUUGAAGAUACUAAAUAAAUGUCUACCACUUAUUUUUUGCUUUAUCAUCUUACUAAUUGUUAUUCCUUUACCAUCAAAUCAAUAUGUUUUUGCUGACUGGUUGCCUCCCUGUGGUCUGUGGUUUGAAAUUAGGGAUGGCUUCACACUAUCUGGACUGCGCACUGACAAAUGUGCCACGACAGGGCUAUAUAAUUGGAGGGACGAGAGCCUAUGCUUUGGCCAGUGAUAAAUACUCUUCUAUCAUAUAACCAUGCAUAACUAUGUGACUACUAAUUCAGGUUUAUACUUUAAUAACUUUGAUCAUGGAGUAGAUUUCAUGAUAAAACACUUAUAAAUAAGUUGAAAUACAUUACAUGUGAGCACUUAACAAUACAAAAGUAUAUGGCUGUAGUUAUAGGUUUCAUUAACAAAAAUCCAUUCACUUGACUUACCAAGUUGAAAAAUCUGCUUAUUUAUAUAGCCAUUGGUUAAUGAGUUAUCCAAAGAAAGUCAUGCAGUGAAGGGAAGUGUAGAACACCUGAUCCUUUAAGAAAUACAUAGACUGUACAGGCCUGAAAACUGACAAGAACAUCAAAAUAUGCUUAUAUUUACUCAUAUGUAGGUAUUAAUUCUUUAUUGUCUUUAUAGAUACAGCACCAUGGUUUCCUAUGCUUAUGCAAACAAAUAUCCUUUUACUGCUUUUAGCGAAUAUCCCUUCCUUGUUAUUCAAGAUUUUAUUCUGCUUCUAAUGAUUUUGCAUUACUCUAAAUCAUUUGGUGUUUCCUGGGUAAUCUAUUUUGUUUUAAUUGCUAUCAUUCAGUACUGCAUAGCUUUUGAACACUUGCCGAAGACGUUUGUGUCCGCAGUGGUGGUAUGUAUUUCACUUUGGGUUACUUAGUAGAAGCUUAUAUUUCAAUUUUCAUUGGUUACAUAAUAAUAAUUGUAUUAGUUGGAAAGUAUAUUGUGUCUUAUGUCAUAUUUAUCCUCAAAAGAAUUAUUAAAAGUUUCAAUCAAUCACUUUGCUCCAGAUUUUAAAACUUUUUAUCUUUUACUGUAGCUUCGUUAAAGGAUAUAACGAGAGUAGGAACAUGGAGCAUCUGACACGUACUUUCACGAGUGGUUUUGAUUUUCCAUUCUGAUGGUACACCACAUAAGUCCCAGUAUUAUUAUUCCACACCUUUGCUACAUCUGGAUCCAGUAAUGUUUGUGAUCUGAAAAAAUGUGUACCUCCAGGUUCUCCAGAACAUCUUUUAUAUUAUUCAUUCACCCUGUUGGUAGAUUUCCUCUAUAUUUUAAACUUGAUGUUGUUAAGAUUGUAUUACACAGCACGUGUAUCAGUCAUCUGUCUGUUCAAACAACCAUUUAUUUCUUAGUAUUGAGCUGUGUAUAUAUCCUAUAUUCAUUAUGAAGUCAAUUGGAGACCUGUUUUUUAUACCCUGGAUUUUAUGGUUGUAUUAUGUGGUUAAGUGUCAGGUUUCUUAAUGUUUGCUGGCUUUAAGACUUUGAAUCAGGUUUAG